UACGUAGGGGGCAAGCGUUGUCCGGAAUCAUUGGGCGUAAAGAGCGUGUAGGCGGCUCGAUAAGUCUGCUGUGAAAGUCCAGGGCUCAACCCUGGAAGGCCGGUGGAACUGUCGGGCUAGAGUCCGGAAGAGGCGAGUGGAAUUCCCGGUGUAGCGGUGAAAUGCGUAGAUAUCAAGAGGAACACCUGAGGUGAAGACGGGUUGCUGGGCUGACACUGACGCUGAGGCGCGAAGCCAGGGGAGCAAACGGG
rnacentral:rRNA from 1 species